AUCUGGAGAUCCCUCCUUGGUGAAGCUUUCCCUUGCAAUCCUAGUGUUUUCUGAUAAAGAGUGUAGCAAGACAGGACCAGUGCCUAAAGCAGACCUGGGAGGUUGAUUUAUGUAACCUUGAAGAGGUCACUUAAAUCACAGCCUCCCUUGUGAGCACACUGGAACCAGCCCCAGCACACCUGGACUCCACGAAGGCCCCAAGCUGCUGCUGCUGGCUGUGCUGUGUGUCACAGGAGUUAAUGGCAUAAGAAGUCUCUUAGCUGUUCAGGCACCAAGUCUGGCGUGUGUAUUUCUCUGUGCCAGUUCCCGUACCUAAUAAAUGAGAGCCUGCUUUACUGACUGUAUCGAGGGGAUUAAUCAACUGCACGUUUUUAUGAAGUGCCUGGAGAUGCCAGAGAGCAGCAUACAGCACUGCAAGAGAUUCACUGUUGCUGCUUCCAGAAAAUAAAUUUGAAAGAUCUUUUUUUUUUAUUUGUGACUCAUAUUUUUUAACAAGCCUUCAAACUAAAAGGAAUGUUUUUGCCUGUUCUUUGAUACUGAGAUGUGUCACUGGACUCCCAUUGUCUGGCAUGAUGUACUAUAUUUCUUAAUUUGGUCAAGAGUAAUUCCAGUCAGAUCUUCCAAGAUUGCUUCAUUUACGUUUGUAUACUUGUGUGUAUAUAUAAAUGUUUACUUUGUUUUAUCAACUGUGCUGACUGUAGGGAUUUUUGUUUGCUUUGUUUUUGAGAUUGCUUUUGAAGCACUAAGAAAUGGUCACUGUUACCCAGCAAUAAAGAGUUGUUUGCCUCA